UUUUUUUUUUUUUAACAUUUCAUCAAAACCCCUAUUCCUACCUUACAAAGCAAAGCUUUACCAUUUGUUAACCACUUUUUUUCCACAAGAUAUAAACAACAGAACUGCAACAACUUGAAUGUUUCAUGCCUCUAUAUACAAAAAUCCUACAGUACCUACAUUAUUUGUGCUAAAUUGAUUAUGUUAACUCUAAACUCCACGGCAUAGAGUAUUAAAAAUUAGCAACAAGAUUAUAGUUUCUAAAAAAGAAAAUCUUGAGUGGAAUAGUGGUCCUGUUUUUCUCCCUCGCUAGGUUUGUAUCCCUCAUAAUUAAAUAAAAAUAUAGAUCUUAGUUGAGUCAUAGAAGAGAUAUUACAAGUAUUUUGUGAGAAGGGAGGGGUUAAAUAGAUGGGUUAAGAAGGGCACGAGCUGUAAUGAGCACCAGCUGGGUGAUGUAUAGAAGUGUUGAAUCACUAUAGUGUACACCUACAUCUAAUAUUAAGCUAUAUGUUAUGCUAACUGGAAUUUAAAUAAAAACUUUUAAAAAAGAGUCCCCCCUCCCUCAAAAAGAAUAUUUUGUAGUAUACUAAAGGUAAACUUACAUAUUUUAACUGAGGUACUUUAUGGUAAAUGGUGUCUAAUAUACUGUGGUAUUUACUUUAUGGUAAAUGGUGUCUAAUAUACUGUUAAUCUUUAGAUAAGUAGAAAAGGUAAAAACUGUUCCAGACGACCAGGAGCUGCCCUUGAUUUCACUCUUAGGCCAAGUCUAUUCUUGUUGAUGAGAAAAAUGUCACACACCUCCUUCAUCAAAAGUAAAUGAUAACAUGGGGUGCCUGGGUUGCUUGGUCAGACUCUUGAUUUCAGUUCAGGGUAUGAUCUCAGGGUCAUGGGAUUGAGCCCUGUUUUGUACUCUGGGCUCAGCUGGGAGUCUACCUGAGAUUCUCUUCCUGUCUGCCCCUCUUCCAUUCAUGUGCACAUGCAUGUCCUCUCUCUAGUAACAAACUAUAGAAAUGGUCCUUGAAAGUAUAGUCCUCCUCUCUCUAAAGUAAGUCAGUCCUUGGGGUGCCUGGGUAGCUCAGGUGGUUGAGGAUCUGACUCUUGAUUUUGGCUCAAGUCAUAAUCUCAUAAUCUCAGGGUCAUGAGAUAGUGCCCUAUGUCAGACUCUGUGCUGGGCAUGGAGCCUGCUUGGGAUUCUCUCCCUUUCCCUCUCCCCGUCCCCUGGCUCGCAUGGACAUACAUACUCACAUUCUCUCUCUCUCUCUCUCUGUCUCAAAUAAAUAAAAUCUUUAAAAAUAAAUAAAUCUUUUAAAAAAAGAGUAAAUUUUAAUUGUCUUGGUCCAUGAAGGACCAAGACAUUUUUUAAAAAAAGAUUUUAUUUAUUUACUCAUGACACACACACACACACACACACAGAGGCAGACACAAGCAGAGAGGGAGAAGCAAGCUCCAUGCAGGAAGCCCGAUGUGGGACUCCAUCCCAGGACUCCGGGUUUGCUCCCUGAGCCAAAGGCAGAUUCUCAACUGUUGAGCCACCCAGGUGUCCCAGGACCAAGACAAUUAUAAGGGCAUUUUGUAACCACAUCUCUAAAAAUGGUAAAAAUUAAUGUUCCAAAUCAUAAAAAUGACCAAUAUUCCUUUUUUUCUAAUAUCACUACCUGGGACUUCUUACUAGUAAGUUUAGGUCCAUGACACUGUUUUUAUGUUCUACCUUCUAGAUAACAACAAUUAUAGUUACCAAUGAUAGAAUACAGUUUACCUCCUCACAGCAUUCAAUUCACAAAAAUGUCUUGCUUCCUUGAGUACCAGUUAAAUCCUCCAACACAAGUCAAAACCCUACAAGUCCUUUUGAACAUCAUGUUAAUGUUAUACUCAGUCCUUUCUGAUUUAUAGCCAUUCUUACUAAAAUUCAUUAUACUCCUCUUUGACUACACAUAUACUCCUGCAGGUCACUGGGCAGAGUGCACACACACACACAAUGUGAUUUAAAUUUUUGGUAUUACAAAUGACGAGAAAUUACUUUCAUGACAACACUGUGAAAUAAAAGAAUAACAAAACUUCUUGAGGAAAAACUACCUGAACUUGUAUGCCAAUGUAAUACUCACAAUGUAUAAUAUAUGAUUAAAAGAAGAAAACUGCAGUUUAUCAAAAAAUCCCUAAUAAUAAUGGCACACUUUAAUAUAUCCUCUCUGGGAAAUUAAAAAAUUCAGUAUCUAUUAGCAUUAGGUGGCUUAGAAAAAAGUUAAUUAAAUACUUCUAUGAAACAAUGACAGAAGUGUUCCUCUACAAAAAAUGCACAUACUUUUAACCACAUACAAUCAAAGAUAUUGAUUGGAUAUUGAGGUAUUACAUUUGGGAAGAAGAAACUGGAAAUACCCACAGUCUUUCUGACAUGUGGAAGGUGCUUACUGUCACAAAGAAGGACAAGAUCAAAGAAGCCAAUGUACAAUGUAGUAGAGAAACAAACUCCAAUUCUACAUUUUUACUGCACCAUUGUAAGUGUCAAGGUCAGUCAGGAAAAUACACACUACACUAUUAACAACAUAUGGUGUUUCCUAUACAAAUUAGGCCUUAUCAGGGAUAUAAUCUAGAGGAGGUAGUCAGAGAACACUCCCAAGCAUGAAAGUCUGAAUUCACAUCAUCGCAGACACAAGAAGCCUUAUCAAAAAAAAAAAAAAAAAGAAAAAAC
rnacentral:lncRNA from 1 species